UCUCCGUAGGUGAACCUGCGGAGGGAUCAUUACUGAGUGAGGGUUUAACCGCCCGACCUCCAACCCUUUGUGAAUCGUACUCGUUGCUUCGGGGGCGACCCUGCCGGCACUCUGUCGCCGGGCGCCCCCGAAGGUCUCCCAACACUGCAUCUUUGCGUCGGAGUUUAAAACAAAUCGAACAAAACUUUCAACAACGGAUCGCUUGGUUCUGUCAUCGAUGAAGAACGCAGC
rnacentral:misc_RNA from 1 species